rnacentral:rRNA from 1 species
CAGCCGCCACGGUAAUACGUAGGUGGCAAGCGUUGUCCGGAAUUAUUGGGCGUAAAGGGCUCGCAGGCGGUUUCUUAAGUCUGAUGUGAAAGCCCCCGGCUCAACCGGGGAGGGUCAUUGGAAACUGGGAAACUUGAGCGCAGAAGAGGAGAGUGGAAUUCCACGUGUAGCGGUGAAAUGCGUAGAGAUGUGGAGGAACACCAGUGGCGAAGGCGACUCUCUGGUCUGUAACUGACGCUGAGGAGCGAAAGCGUGGGGAGCGAACAGGAUUAGAUACCCGCGUAGUCCCUGUCUCUUAUAC